rnacentral:rRNA from 1 species
AUUGAACGCUGGCGGCAUGCUUUACACAUGCAAGUCGAGCGGCAGCGCGGGGGCAACCCUGGCGGCGAGCGGCGAACGGGUGAGGAAUACAUCGGAACGUACCCCGGAGUGGGGGAUAACGCCGCGAAAGCGGCGCUAAUACCGCACAUGCUCUGAGGAGGAAAGUGGGGUACCCGCACGGGCCCCACGCUCUGGCAGCGGCCGAUGUCCGAUUAGCUUGUUGGUGAGGUAAUGGCCCACCAAGGCGACGAUCGGUAGCUGGUCUGAGAGGAUGAUCAGCGACACUGGGACUGAGACACGGCCCAGACUCCUACGGGAGGCAGCAGUGGGGAAUUUUGGACAAUGGGGGCAACCCUGAUCCAGCCAUGCCGCGUGCGGGAAGAAGGCCUUCGGGUUGUAAACCGCUUUUGGUCGGGAAGAAAAGGUUAUCCCUAAUAAGGAUGACUCUUGACGGUACCGGCAGAAUAAGCACCGGCUAACUACGUGCCAGCCGCCGCAGUAAGAG